UCAUUCAUUCAAGCCUAAGUCUCAAACACUCUAGCCUCUCUCUAAAAUAACUUAGCUUAUUCUUCAAGCAAGAAGGUGAACCUCCAAGCCUUGCAAGAUCCUUCACCAAGAUUCCUACUUUCUUCUUCUUGAGCAUAGGAAAGGUUGGUGUGGAAGAAGAGCUCUAGGAAAGGCUUAAGAGGGUGAAAAAGAGUAGUUGUUGGUCUACAAAGGUCUUGAGUAGAUGACGAGCGCGCUAGUCGUUGUGGUAGCUAGUAUAGUUCCCUCUUUUAGUUGCUUGUGUUGGGCCUGUGAGCCUUUGUUAGUUCAUGGCCUGUGUGCCUUAGACUUGAUAUUGUUUUGAUGGAUAGUUGUAGACUUAGCAUGUGCACCCAUGGUUUAUGGGCGUGGCAUAACGCUUUCCGGUUUUAUUUAGCUUUCGCU